GUUGUGUCACCUUGGUAAAUCAGUUCAACGAACUAUCGUUUAUAAAAAAAAGUAUUGAUGCCAAAAAAAUCGGCUUACAUAACUUGAAAUAAAAAUAUCAGGAGGCUAGCCUCUUGAAUUGGCCUUGCGAUGGUCAUGUUCUCCCAUAUCCACCACAAUCAAUCGCUGGGGACAAACCGCCGACAAAAGAAGUAGGAGGUGUAGUGAGAAGUAUGCUAGUCCUGAAGAAUGCCUUCAAGAAGGAACUGUCAUACGUGCUCCGUUGUCUGAUCCAACCAAAGAUCGAACUUGGGAUUAUA
rnacentral:lncRNA from 1 species